GACGAACGCUGGCGGCGUGCUUAACACAUGCAAGUCGAACGGAAAGGCCUCUUUCGGGGGGUACUCGAGUGGCGAACGGGUGAGUAACACGUGAGUAACCUGCCCUUGACUUUGGGAUAACUUCAGGAAACUGGGGCUAAUACCGGAUAGGAGCUCCUGCUGCAUGGGGGGGGUUGGAAAGUUUCGGCGGUUGGGGAUGGACUCGCGGCUUAUCAGCUUGUUGGUGGGGUAGUGGCUUACCAAGGCUUUGACGGGUAGCCGGCCUGAGAGGGUGACCGGCCACAUUGGGAAUGAGAUACGGCCCAGACUCCUACGGGAGGCAGCAGUGGGGAAUAUUGCACAAUGGGUGGAAGCCUGAUGCAGCAACGCCGUGUGGGGGAUGACGGCCUUCGGGUUGUAAACCGCUUUCGCUCAUGACGAAGCUUUGUGUGACGGUAGUGGGUAAAGAAGCACCGGCUAACUACGUG
rnacentral:rRNA from 1 species